AAAAGAACCCCGGCGAGGGGAGUGAAAAAGAACCUGAAACCGUGUACGUACAAGCAGUGGGAGCACGCUUAGGCGUGUGACUGCGUACCUUUUGUAUAAUGGGUCAGCGACUUAUAUUCUGUAGCAAGGUUAACCGAAUAGGGGAGCCGAAGGGAAACCGAGUCUUAACUGGGCGUUAAGUUGCAGGGUAUAGACCCGAAACCCGGUGAUCUAGCCAUGGGCAGGUUGAAGGUUGGGUAACACUAACUGGAGGACCGAACCGACUAAUGUUGAAAAAUUAGCGGAUGACUUGUGGCUGGGGGUGAAAGGCCAAUCAAACCGGGAGAUAGCUGGUUCUCCCCGAAAGCUAUUUAGGUAGCGCCUCGUGAAUUCAUCUCCGGGGGUAGAGCACUGUUUCGGCAAGGGGGUCAUCCCGACUUACCAACCCGAUGCAAACUGCGAAUACCGGAGAAUGUUAUCACGGGAGACACACGGCGGGUGCUAACGUCCGUCGUGAAGAGGGAAACAACCCAGACCGCCAGCUAAGGUCCCAAAGUCAUGGUUAAGUGGGAAACGAUGUGGGAAGGCCCAGACAGCCAGGAUGUUGGCUUAGAAGCAGCCAUCAUUUAAAGAAAGCGUAAUAGCUCACUGGUCGAGUCGGCCUGCGCGGAAGAUGUAACGGGGCUAAACCAUGCACCGAAGCUGCGGCAGCGACGCUGAUGCGUUGUUGGGUAGGGGAGCGUUCUGUAAGCCUGCGAAGGUGUGCUGUGAGGCAUGCUGGAGGUAUCAGAAGUGCGAAUGCUGACAUAAGUAACGAUAAAGCGGGUGAAAAGCCCGCUCGCCGGAAGACCAAGGGUUCCUGUCCAACGUUAAUCGGGGCAGGGUGAGUCGACCCCUAAGGCGAGGCCGAAAGGCGUAGUCGAUGGGAAACAGGUUAAUAUUCCUGUACUUGGUGUUACUGCGAAGGGGGGACGGAGAAGGCUAUGUUGGCCGGGCGACGGUUGUCCCGGUUUAAGCGUGUAGGCUGGUUUUCCAGGCAAAUCCGGAAAAUCAAGGCUGAGGCGUGAUGACGAGGCACUACGGUGCUGAAGCAACAAAUGCCCUGCUUCCAGGAAAAGCCUCUAAGCAUCAGGUAACAUCAAAUCGUACCCCAAACCGACACAGGUGGUCAGGUAGAGAAUACCAAGGCGCUUGAGAGAACUCGGGUGAAGGAACUAGGCAAAAUGGUGCCGUAACUUCGGGAGAAGGCACGCUGAUAUGUAGGUGAAGUCCCUCGCGGAUGGAGCUGAAAUCAGUCGAAGAUACCAGCUGGCUGCAACUGUUUAUUAAAAACACAGCACUGUGCAAACACGAAAGUGGACGUAUACGGUGUGACGCCUGCCCGGUGCCGGAAGGUUAAUUGAUGGGGUUAGCGCAAGCGAAGCUCUUGAUCGAAGCCCCGGUAAACGGCGGCCGUAACUAUAACGGUCCUAAGGUAGCGAAAUUCCUUGUCGGGUAAGUUCCGACCUGCACGAAUGGCGUAAUGAUGGCCAGGCUGUCUCCACCCGAGACUCAGUGAAAUUGAACUCGCUGUGAAGAUGCAGUGUACCCGCGGCAAGACGGAAAGACCCCGUGAACCUUUACUAUAGCUUGACACUGAACAUUGAGCCUUGAUGUGUAGGAUAGGUGGGAGGCUUUGAAGUGUGGACGCCAGUCUGCAUGGAGCCGACCUUGAAAUACCACCCUUUAAUGUUUGAUGUUCUAACGUUGACCCGUAAUCCGGGUUGCGGACAGUGUCUGGUGGGUAGUUUGACUGGGGCGGUCUCCUCCUAAAGAGUAACGGAGGAGCACGAAGGUUGGCUAAUCCUGGUCGGACAUCAGGAGGUUAGUGCAAUGGCAUAAGCCAGCUUGACUGCGAGCGUGACGGCGCGAGCAGGUGCGAAAGCAGGUCAUAGUGAUCCGGUGGUUCUGAAUGGAAGGGCCAUCGCUCAACGGAUAAAAGGUACUCCGGGGAUAACAGGCUGAUACCGCCCAAGAGUUCAUAUCGACGGCGGUGUUUGGCACCUCGAUGUCGGCUCAUCACAUCCUGGGGCUGAAGUAGGUCCCAAGGGUAUGGCUGUUCGCCAUUUAAAGUGGUACGCGAGCUGGGUUUAGAACGUCGUGAGACAGUUCGGUCCCUAUCUGCCGUGGGCGCUGGAGAACUGAGGGGGGCUGCUCCUAGUACGAGAGGACCGGAGUGGACGCAUCACUGGUGUUCGG
rnacentral:rRNA from 1 species